rnacentral:rRNA from 1 species
GACGAACCGUGCGAACGUUGUUCGGAUUCACUGGGCUUAAAGGGCGCGUAGGCGGGGGUCCAAGUCGGUGGUGAAAUCUUUCGGCCCAACCGGAAAAUCGCCUCCGAUACUGGACCUCUCGAGGGAGGUAGGGGCAUGCGGAACUUCGGGUGGAGCGGUGAAAUGCGUAGAUAUCCGAAGGAACGCCGGUGGCGAAAGCGGCGUGCUGGACCUCUUCUGACGCUGAGGCGCGAAAGCCAGGGGAGCGAACGGG